rnacentral:rRNA from 1 species
AACGGCCGUACCAUGCUGAAUAUACCGGUUCUCGUUAGAUCACCGAAGUUAAGCAUUAUUGGGCGCGGUCAGUACUUGGAUGGGUGACCACCUGGGAACACUGCGUGCCGUU